UGGCACAGAGGGCUGGAGCAACUCGCCUA
rnacentral:piRNA from 1 species